CAUAUGUUAGAGCCUCUCCAUGUGUCUUCGGAGCCCUUUCUGCGUUAAGUGCCCUAUUCCAUAAAUAUUCUGGGCUGUCAUGUUCUUUUGGACAUCAGUCUUUCAGCCUCUUCCCCUGUCAAAGCUCUCCUAUCUUGCAUUCUAUUUCCUCAGGGUAAACAUGAGUGAUGUGGGACACUUGAUUUUCUUCUAUAUUGGAGCCUCUGUCCAGAUAUCUACUGAAAAAAAAAAACUAUGCUUCCAGAAGGUUUAGUACAAUGUGACUGUUCAAAGACUGCUUAUCUGUGGGUCAUAGAAAGACAAGAUGGAUUUUACUGCAAAAAGGUCUCUGCUGUGCUUGCCCCAUACAAGAAAGGCAAUGAAAAUAUUUUGAGAGAAAACCAAGGUGUUGAUGUCAAAGUAGUGAUGUCUACAGCCAUCAUGAGGACAAGAUGUCUGAUAUAUAGAAGGGAUCAUGUAUGUUACUUGAUGGCCAGAGGCUGGCUUCCAUGAUGGAAUAAAAAAAAACAUAUUUCAAAAGGAUAAUGAGAU
rnacentral:lncRNA from 1 species